UGGGGAAGUUUUACCGUCAAUGGGCGAAAGGCCUGACGGAGCAAUGCCGCGUGGAGGUGGAAGGCCUACGGGUCGUCAACUUCUUUUCUCGGAGAAGAAACAAUGACGGUAUCUGAGGAAUAAGCAUCGGCUAACUCUGCGCCAG
rnacentral:rRNA from 1 species